CGUCGUACACCCGAGCCUCGCCGUACACCCGA
rnacentral:scRNA from 1 species